rnacentral:rRNA from 1 species
UACGGGGGGGUGCGAGCGUUGUCCGGAAUUACUGGGCGUAAAGGGCUCGUAGGCGGCCAACUAAGUCAAACGUGAAAUCCCUCGGCUUAACCGGGGAACUGCGUCUGAUACUGGAUGGCUUGAGUUUGGGAGAGGGAUGCGGAAUUCCCGGUGUAGCGGUGAAAUGCGUAGAUAUCUGGAGGAACACCGGUGGCGAAGGCGGCAUCCUGGACCGGUAUUGACGCUGAGGCGCGAAAGCUAGGGGAGCAAACGGG